GAUGAACGCUGGCGGCGUGCUUAACGCAUGCAAGUCGUACGUGAAGGGGUUUUCGGACUCCUGAAAGUGGCGAACGGGUGAGUAAUACGUAGAUGACCUGCCUUAAAGUGGGGGAUAACUACUGGAAACGGUGGCUAAUACCGCAUAGAGCUGUGGCCGUUGGAAGGUUGCAGGGAAAGCUCCGGCGCUUAGAGAGGGGUCUACGUCCGAUUAGCUAGUUGGUAGGGUAAAGGCCUACCAAGGCGACGAUCGGUAGCUGGUCUGAGAGGACGGUCAGCCACACGGGAACUGAGACACGGUCCCGACUCCUACGGGGGGAAGCAGCGAGGAAUAUUGGGCAAUGGGCGAAAGCCUUACCCAGCAACGCCGCGUGAAGGAAGAAGGCCUUCGGGUUGUAAACUUCUUUUGUGGGGGAAGAGAGAGGACGGUACCCUGCGAAUAAGUCACGGCUAACUACGUGCCAGCCGCCGCGGUAA
rnacentral:rRNA from 1 species